rnacentral:rRNA from 1 species
AACGAACGCUGGCGGCAUGCCUAACACAUGCAAGUCGAACGAGACCUUCGGGUCUAGUGGCGCACGGGUGCGUAACGCGUGGGAACCUGCCCUUAGGUUCGGAAUAACUCCCCGAAAGGGGUGCUAAUACCGGAUAAUGUCUUCGGACCAAAGAUUUAUCACCUUUGGAUGGGCCCGCGUUGGAUUAGCUAGUUGGUAGGGUAAAAGCCUACCAAGGCGACGAUCCAUAGCUGGUCUGAGAGGAUGAUCAGCCACACUGGGACUGAGACACGGCCCAGACUCCUACGGGAGGCAGCAGUGGGGAAUAUUGGACAAUGGGCGAAAGCCUGAUCCAGCAAUGCCGCGUGAGUGAUGAAGGCCUUAGGGUUGUAAAGCUCUUUUACCCGGGAUGAUAAUGACAGUACCGGGAGAAUAAGCUCCGGCUAACUCCGUG